rnacentral:rRNA from 1 species
CCUACGGGUGGCUGCAGUGGGGAAUUUUUGGCAAUGGACGAAAGUCUGACCGAGCCAUACCGCGUGAAGGAUGAAGGCCCUUGGGUCGUAAACUUCUGUGGAGAUAUACUAAAAAAAUGAAGAUAUUUCUAGAAAGGAGCUGCAAACUCUGUGCCAGCAGCAGCGGUGAUACAGAGGCUCCAAGCGUUAUCCGGUUUCAUUGGGCGUAAAGCGUUCCGAAGGUUGUUUAGUGUGUUCAAAUUUAAAGGCCGCAGCUUAACUGCGUGUUCGGUUUGAAAACUGCUAGACUUGAGGGGUAAAAAAGUAGUUGGAACUUUGCAAGUAGGGGUGAAAUCCGUUGAUAUGCAAAAGAACGCCAAAAGCGAAAGCAGACUACUGAGUGCCACCUGACACUGCUAGGACGAAAGCGUGGGGAGAGAAUGGGAUUAGAUACCCAUGUAGUC